rnacentral:tRNA from 1 species
AGCAGAGUGGCGCAGUGGAAGCGUGCUGGGCCCAUAACUCAGAGGUCCGUGGAUCGGAACCACGCUCUGCUA